rnacentral:rRNA from 1 species
UACGUAGGGGGCAAGCGUUGUCCGGAUUUAUUGGGCGUAAAGAGCGUGUAGGCGGUUUUACAGGUCCGCUGUGAAAACUCGAGGCUCAACCUCGAGCUGUCGGUGGAAACCGUAAGGCUAGAGUCCGGAAGAGGAGAGUGGAAUUCCUGGUGUAGCGGUGAAAUGCGCAGAUAUCAGGAAGAACACCCGUGGCGAAGGCGGCUCUCUGGGGACGGUACUGACGCUGAGA